rnacentral:tmRNA from 1 species
GGGGAUGACAAGGCCUCGACGUGAAGAAUACGCACUUUUAUAAAUGGCAGGGGCGCACCUAUGCGUCAAAUGGAAAACAAUAACUGCAAACGUCAAAGACGCAACUGCAGAACUUCGAGCACUUGCAAUGGACAUGCUUGGACUUAAUGCUCCUCAAAGAGCAUUUGCCACUGUCUAACGACAAAGACUCUUAGUUUUCUCUUUGAGUGACCUCCGAUAGCUCAUUGAGGUACAACCUUCGGGGUACAGCCGCAGAAAGUUACCAAUCUUGAUGCGGCUCGAAAAGUUAAAAAUUGGCAGCCUGACGGUGGUUUGCAUAUCUCCCGCACCGGGCUUGAGGAAAAAAUAUGCUAUCUCCUGCAAAACAUUUUUAAAAAUGCCUUUACGGACCCGGGUUCGACUCCCGGCAUCUCCACAA